ACUACUUUGGCAGAAAAAUGUUUUAAAUUUAGAAUUUAUUUAUGUAAUGAUUAUUACAGGUAGUA
rnacentral:tRNA from 1 species